rnacentral:rRNA from 1 species
AUUUCUGUUAAUAAUUUAUAUAAAAUAUUUUGAAUAUUUAUAUAACAUUAACAUAAUUCAUAUUACUAUAUAUUUUAGUAUAUGAAAUUUUACUUUGAGAAAAUUAGAGUGCUUAAAGCAGGCAUAUGCCUUGAAUACUCCAGCAUGGAAUAAUAUUAAAGAUUUUUAUCUUUCUUAUUGGUUCUAAGAUAAGAAUAAUGAUUAAUAGGGACAGUUGGGGGCAUUUGUAUUUAACAGUCAGAGGUGAAAUUCUUAGAUUUGUUAAAGACAAACUAAUGCGAAAGCAUUUGCCAAGGAUGUUUUCAUUAAUCAAGAACGAAAGUUAGGGGAUCGAAGACGAUCAGAUACCGUCGUAGUCUUAACCAUAAACUAUGCCAACUAGAGAUUGGAGGUUGUUCCUUACUCCUUCAGCACCUUA